rnacentral:rRNA from 1 species
GCCAACGUCCAUACCACGUUGAAUACACCGGUUCUCGUCCGAUCACUGAAGUUAAGCAACAUCGGGCGCGGUCAGUACUUGGAUGGGUGACCGCCUGGGAACACCGCGUGACGUUGGCU